UAAUCAGUUGACAGUGUUCAAGUGCGAAAGCCAAGAAGUGCGGAAGUGUCCGUAGCUCCCCUCCUCUUUACAGCUCCAUAUUGCGCAGUCACUGGCAAUUCCUUUUCUCUCCGCAGUUUGAGCAAAGGAGCCAAUCGUGUUCGAAGAAGUCCUAUCCCGACUGGGCACGAUAGCGAUCCACAAGGGCGCCGCGUGAGCAGUUAGUUGUCUACACUGCGCCGGUGCUGCGGCUUCCCCUCAGUGCAAGCUGUACUGCGGCUCAGCGGCUACACCAUUCCGUGCCUUAUUUGCAGAAGCAUGCCGUCGGCGGGAAAGCAGGGGCAGUCCAUGCUGACCGGAGAGCAGAGAAGCUGGAUAUUGGACUUGGUGGACUUCCUCCUGCUGAUCGUAGACGAGCUCUUACGACGACUCAACGAGAUGAUUGAGGCACAGAGAAGAUAUGAAGUGUAGGUUUGAGAUGUGAAAGGUCCCGUCUCUUCCUAAUUCCAAGAAGG